GAGGGUCUAGCUCAAUUGGUAGACUGUAUGCUUAGCAUGCGUGAGGUCCUGGGUUCAAUUCCCCAGGACCUCCA
rnacentral:tRNA from 1 species